rnacentral:lncRNA from 1 species
CUUCUGCUGUUCCCCCGCCUUGGCAAUGGGGCCGCUUGCUGAGAGGCUGCAACUCUCCUGUUACUCUGGGGGAAAGCUUAACAACUAAGAUUCAGAGCAAAGGAAGACGAUGCCGGCAGCAGGCUUUGGGUGCUUGUGGGGCAGCAGGUUGUACCAGGGGCAGGUGCAGACCCCUGCCUCCCUUGCCUUCACCACAGUCACAACAGGCCAGGCCAGCCCAUCCAUCAUGUCUCUAGGAUAUCUCAGGGGUUCAAGGCCACCACACCAUUUGCAGCACACUCCACUCGCUGAUCUGUGAUAUGGGAGAUGUGCUUAUUGGCGAAUAAAUCACCAUGUCAAGUUAACGGCCUGUGUCCAAGGCGAGUGACUUCGAGGUCAGCAUAGCAGCAUACCAUUGGAUGCAGCGGGUUCUGCUUCUGCGCACAGUGCCUCAUCAGAACAUAAAUUUUCAAAUACCAGAUGUGAUAAAAGACAACAUCGAGCUUUCUGUUUUUUGAAGGAGAGGAGAAGGAGAUCCUGGAUACAUUCUCUGAAAGGUGCCUCCACUUCAUCACUGAUCCCGACACGUGGGAGGAAGGAGAGGAGGACAGUGAAGACCAUCAGCAAGGGAGAGCAGGUUCCCUGCCCUGGAUCCCUGCCCUGGUCCCCUGCCCUGAUUCCCUGCCCCAUGUUGUAGGUCUUUGGGCUACAUUUCUACCCAUUGGCUGAACAUAAAAACUGUCCUAUGAACUAUUUGGCAGCAAGUUCACAGCAAAGAAUAUUAACUCUGUGAGGCACCUUAGACAAUGCCUGGCUUAACCCCCACUUGACAAAUAAAGACACAUGUUCUGACUCACCCACCAUCCCAGGAGCAACUGACCAGGCUGAGGAACUCUGUCCACUGCCUGCAGCCCACUUGGCCUUCCACUGUGACGUCCAGGCUGAGGAACUGUGUCUGCCACCUGCAGCCCACUUGGCCUUCCACUGUGAUGUCCUUUCCAGGACUCUGAGCAGAGAUGGGUUUAUAACAAGCAUAAAUUGUUAUUUUGUAUCGAUCUGCACAUCAAUUUAUAUAUUUUGAAAAUUAAAAGAAAUCCAAUGAUAAGAAUUUUUCUCACAAGUUAAUUAAGGAAACUAGGUCAAUGGAAAUUUCUUAGGUUAUGAAAAUAUUGAUGUGAAUAUGUUAUGUGAGAAUCAUUUCAAAAUGAGUUAAAGGGGCUGGGCACAGUGGUUCACACCUGUAAUCCCAGCACUUUGGGAGGCCAAGGUGGGUGGAUCAUGAGGUCAAGACAUUGAGACCAUCCUGGCCAACAUGGUGAAACCCUGUCUCUACUAAAAAUACAAAAAUUAGCCAGGCAUGGUGGCACAUGCCUGUAGUCCCAGCUACUCAGGAGGCUGAGGCGGGAGAAUAGCUUGAACCUGGGAGGUGGAGGUUGCUGUCACGCGACUGCACUCCAGCCUGGUGAGAGAGCAAGAGAGCAAGACUCCGUCUCAAAAAAAAAAAAAAAAAAAAAAACAAACCAGGAGUUACAGGAAUCUAGGAUAUUUUGCUUUCUGUCCCUAAACUUUGGGGCUUAAUUUGGCAGAAACUUGGGAGUGGGAGGGUGAAGUUUGUGGCGUCCUGCUUGCCUUGAAUUUGUGGUGGCCACAGAAUGCAGGCUUGACUUCAUGCAGGUUCUCAUACAUCAUUAUGGAGAACAUCUUUUUGUAUUUACUUCAAUAUUUAUUUUGUAGUGAAAAUAAAAGCAAUACCAGUUUUCUGAAGGGUUUCUUAAAUCAAUUCCUUUGUGUCCUAUAGGGCAAUACUUUGCUCCUAGAGAAGUCUGUGAACCAUUGGUGUCUUUGAUUUGUCUCAUUAGAACGCCCACCCUCAU